rnacentral:snRNA from 1 species
GACCAUAUGGACAAUGGGC